GAUCCUGUCUACUUUGUUAUCUAUGCUUAGUGUUAAAUGUGUAUGUGGUUCUCUUUGCAUUUCUGCUGUGAAUCCCUGUACCCCUAUUUCCCUCUAUGUGUUUGAGUUAAAGUUCAUAACAUGGCAAUAUCCAAAUUGUUGCUCGGGUCUGGACUUGAUCCUUUAAGGGGUCCUAACUCCCAAACAAUAUGACUAACAGGCUGGUUGGGGUGUGCCAGCACUUCCAAUUAUUCGGUAUGACCACCAGCCUGUCUUGGCUUUCCCAAUAAUCCCCUCUAUUGCACUCACACUCUCUCCUAGCUUCUAAGUUCUUUCCCCCUUCUAUAAG
rnacentral:lncRNA from 1 species